GUUCUCACGUUAGCAGCACAUAUACUAAAAUUGGAACCAUACAGAAAACAUUAGCAUGGUCCCUGCUCAACGAUGACACACAAAUUUUUGAAGCAUUCCAUAUUUUU
ensembl:snRNA U6 U6 spliceosomal RNA